rnacentral:rRNA from 1 species
UGGCUCAGGAUGAACGCUGGCGGCGUGCCUAAUACAUGCAAGUCGAACGAACUUCCGUUAAUUGAUUAUGACGUGCUUGCACUGAAUGAGAUUUUAACACGAAGUGAGUGGCGGACGGGUGAGUAACACGUGGGUAACCUGCCCAGAAGCAGGGGAUAACACCUGGAAACAGAUGCUAAUACCGUAUAACAGAGAAAACCGCCUGGUUUUCUUUUAAAAGAUGGCUCUGCUAUCACUUCUGGAUGGACCCGCGGCGCAUUAGCUAGUUGGUGAGGUAACGGCUCACCAAGGCGAUGAUGCGUAGCCGACCUGAGAGGGUAAUCGGCCACAUUGGGACUGAGACACGGCCCAGACUCCUACGGGAGGCAGCAGUAGGGAAUCUUCCACAAUGGACGCAAGUCUGAUGGAGCAACGCCGCGUGAGUGAAGAAGGGUUUCGGCUCGUAAAGCUCUGUUGUUAAAGAAGAACGUGGGUGAGAGUAACUGUUCACCCAGUGACGGUAUUUAACCAGAAAGCCACGGCUAACUACGUGCCAGCAGCCGGGNGAAUA